UUCCUACGGGGGGCAGCAGUGGGGAAUAUUGCACAAUGGGGGAAACCCUGAUGCAGCGACGCCGCGUGAGUGAAGAAGUAUUUCGGCAUGUAAAGCUCUAUCAGCAGGGAAGAAGAAAGACGGUACCUGACUAAGAAGCCCCGGCUAACUACGUGCCAGCAGCCGCGGUAAUACGUAGGGGGCAAGCGUUAUCCGGAUUUACUGGGUGUAAAGGGAGCGUAGACGGCUGUGCAAGUCUGAAGUGAAAGCGCAGGGCUCAACCCUGGGACUGCUUGGGAAACUGUGGAGCUA
rnacentral:rRNA from 1 species